rnacentral:tRNA from 1 species
GCUGUGAUGGCUCAGUGGAUUGAGCGUCGUCCCAUGGAUCAAGAGGUCCUGGGUUCGAUUCCCAGUCAGGGCA